UACGUAGGGGGGCAAGCGUUGUCCGGAAUCAUUGGGCGUAAAGAGCGUGUAGGCGGCUCGAUAAGUCCGCUCUGAAAGCCCGGGGCUCAACCCCGGGAGGCGGGCGGAUACUGUCGAGCUAGAGUCCGGAAGAGGCGAGUGGAAUUCCUGGUGUAGCGGUGAAAUGCGCAGAUAUCAGGAGGAACACCAAUGGCGAAGGCAGCUCGCUGGGACGGUACUGACGCUGAGACGCGAAAGCGUGGGGAGCAAACAGG
rnacentral:rRNA from 1 species